rnacentral:rRNA from 1 species
CCAGCCAUCCCGCGUGAAGGACGACGGCCCCUAUGGGUUGUAAACUUCUUUUGUAUAGGGAUAAACCUACCCUCGUGAGGGUAGCUGAAGGUACUAUACGAAUAAGCACCGGCUAACUCCGUGCCAGCAGCCGCGGUAAUACGGAGGGUGCAAGCGUUAUCCGGAUUUAUUGGGUUUAAAGGGUCCGUAGGCUGAUGUGUAAGUCAGUGGUGAAAUCUCACAGCUUAACUGUGAAACUGCCAUUGAUACUGCAUGUCUUGAGUGUUGUUGAAGUAGCUGGAAUAAGUAGUGUAGCGGUGAAAUGCAUAGAUAUUACUUAGAACACCAAUUGCGAAGGCAGGUUACUAAGCAACAACUGACGCUGAUGGACGAAAGCGUGGGGAGCGAACAGGAUUAGAUACCCUGGUAGUCCACGCCGUAAACGAUGCUAACUCGUUUUUGGGCUUUUGGGUUCAGAGACUAAGCGAAAGUGAUAAGUUAGCCACCUGGGGAGUACGUUCGCAAGAAUGAAACUCAAAGGAAUUGACGGGGGCCCGCACAAGCGGUGGAUUAUGUGGUUUAAUUCGAUGAUACGCGAGGAACCUUACCAAGGCUUAAAUGGGAAAUGACAGGCUUAGAAAUAGGCUUUUCUUCGGACAUUUUUCAAGGUGCUGCAUGGUUGUCGUCAGCUCGUGCCGUGAGGUGUUAGGUUAAGUCCUGCAACGAGCGCAACCCCUGUCACUAGUUGCCAUCAUUCAGUUGGGGACUCUAGUGAGACUGCCUACGCAAGUAGAGAGGAAGGUGGGGAUGACGUCAAAUCAUCACGGCCCUUACGCCUUGGGCCACACACGUAAUACAAUGGCCGGUACAGAGGGCAGCUACACAGCGAUGUGAUGCAAAUCUCGAAAGCCGGUCUCAGUUCGGAUUGGAGUCUGCAACUCGACUCUAUGAAGCUGGAAUCGCUAGUAAUCGCGCAUCAGCCAUGGCGCGGUGAAUACGUUCCCGGGCCUUGUACACACCGCCCGUCAAGCCAUGGAAGUCUGGGGUACCUGAAGUCGGUGACCGUAACAGGAGCUGCCUAGGUAAACAGAAAG